GGAGCAAGCGAACUGAGUGGUUGUGUAGUCACGUCUCAGAAACUGGUUGCACUAGCAGCAUGGUUGGCCAACUGACUGAAGAGCAGAUUGCAGAAUUCAAAGAAGCUUUUUCACUAUUUGACAAAGAUGGUGAUGGAACUAUAACAACAAAGGAAUUGGGAGCUGUAAUGACGUCUCUUGGGCAGAAUCCCACAGAAGCAGAGUUACAGGACAUGAUUAGUGAAGUAGAUGCCCAAUGGUAAUGGCACAGUUGACUUCCGUGAAUUUCUGACAAUGAUGGCAAGAAAAAUAAAAGACACAGACAGUGAAGAAGAAAUUAGAGAAACAUUCAGUGUGUUUGAGAAGGAUGGCAAUGGCUCUAUUAGUGCUGCAGAACUUCACCAUGUGAUGACAAACCUUGGAGAGAAGUUAACAGUUGAAGAAGUUGAUGAAAUUAUCAGGGAAGCAGAUACUGAUGGUAACAGUCAAGUAAACUAAGAAGACUUUGUACAGAUGAUGUCAGCAAAGCGAAGACCUUGUACAAAAUGUGUUAAAUUUCUUGUACAAAAUUGUUACUUGCCUUUUUUUUUGUCACUUAUCUGUGAAAGGUUUCUCCCUACUGCCAAAAAAAAAAUGCAUGUAUAGUAAUUAGGACU